GGCCCAACGAUGGCAGCCACCUCACAGGGCUGGCAGGACACCUGUCCACACGGAGCACUGGCGCCUGGUAGCCAGGGGACAGUCAGCAAAAGUCAGCUGCAGUGAUUGCUACCAUGCUCCCUUUUCCAAAUCGGCUCCUCCAGCUCAUUGUGGCACCCGCCUGGCGAGAAGGCUUUCCUCCUCAUCCUCCUCGUGGAAAUCUUCCUUUGGGGGGUCUCGCAGGAGCCACGGAGUCAGCUUGGACCAGGAGCGCACUUCUAGGCGCUCUGAUGCGGCGGGCGGGGUGCAGAGUCCCGCCGCCGAAGGGGGGGGGGAGGCUCAGUGAGAUCUGCGCCUUUGGUCCCUGGAGAUGCUGGCAAAGCUGAUGUGCCAGUGUCGAGAAUGAAAGCAUCUCAGGAGACCGUCUGGUGCUGCCCUGGGCUUUCAGAGGUUAAGCUCUCCUGACCCCCAGGAGACUGCUGAGGUCUUGAGAGGUUAAGUGAUGUGCUCCGGAUCUCACAGCUGACCUGGAGAACGGCCCUGUGUGUGCACAUGUGUGUGAACUAGAACAUGGGGAGCCUCCUUCCAGAAUUGACUGUUGUUUUUUUUUAAUUAUUUGAAGAAAAUUCUGACAUAUAGGAAAGGACCCACAUUUAAAACAGCUAACAUUUCGUGUUAUUUGCUGCCUAUGUCUUUUUUCUUUCUGUAGUCUUUAAAAGUCACACAGGGAAUGUAUGUGUUAAUGCUCAUGUUGGCGGAGGAGGGGGAGGGAAGAUGGGAAAAAUAAAAUAAAAUAAAAUAAAAAGGGCAG
rnacentral:lncRNA from 1 species